rnacentral:lncRNA from 1 species
ACAAGUCACCACCACCCCCAACUCCCGUUUACAAAUCACCACCACCACCAGUGAAGCCAUACCAUCCCGCACCAGUAUACAAGUCUCCACCACCCCCAACUCCCAUUUACAAAUCACCACCACCACCAGUGAAGCCAUACCAUCCUAAACCUGUGUACAAGUCUCCACCACCACCAGUGAAGCCAUAUCAUCCUACACCCGUCUACAAGUCUCCACCACCACCAACUCCCGUCUACAAGUCACCACCACCACCAGUGAAGCCAUACCAUCCUACACCCGUCUACAAGUCUCCACCACCACCAACUCCCGUCUACAAGUCGCCACCACCACCAGUGAAGCCAUACCAUCCUACACCCGUAUACAAGUCUCCACCACCACCAACUCCCGUUUACAAGUCACCACCACCACCAGUGAAGCCAUAUCAUCCCUCACCAACACCAUACCACCCUACACCAGUAUACAAGUCUCCACCACCACCAACUCCCGUUUACAAGUCCCCACCACCACCAGUAAAGCCAUACCACCCUUCACCAACACCAUACCAUCCUAAACCAGUAUACAAGUCUCCACCACCACCAACUCCAGUCUACAAGUCUCCACCACCAACCCACUAUGUUUACUCCUCUCCCCCUCCUCCCUACCAUUACUAAGAAGUGAGUUUACUAUAUCUGAGGUAAUUAAGAUGAACUUAAACCUUUACAAACAUAUAUAACUAAAAUGCAAUGCAAUAAUAAGUUGCACAAUUAUUUCUUCUCUUUUGGUUAGUUUCUUUUAUAUGUUCUCAUUCACAAUAUUAUAUUGUUAUGCAGGAAAAGCAUAAUGUUGAGCUGAAAGAAAGGCAUUUUCCAUUUUCAAGAAGAAAAUUAUAGUAAAUAAUAAGGCUUACAGAAGAUCAGACGAAGUUCUUUUGUAGCUUCAUGUUAUCUAACUUGUCUUAGUGAUAUAUUGUUUUUGUACUCUAUUUUUAUAUAUUACUUUUAUGUGUCUUUGUGUAUGUUUGCUCACUUUCAAUCUUCUUGCAAAAUGCAGAGAUUAAUUAUGAGAUUAUCAUGAAUAAAAUAAGUUAUUACUACUCCCAUAUGUUUUAAUUAACUUCUCAUCACAAUAUAUAUUACCUUUGUUUUCAUUUUAUCAUGUGCUCAUAUUUAAUUUAUAAAAUUAUAAUGUGAACACAACAUUUACAAUUUUUUUCAAAUAGAACUAUUUAUAUAUAUAUAUAUAUAUAUAUAUAUAUAUAUAUAUAUAUAUAACAGGAUGCUCAAAUUAAUAACCAACGAAUUUCAUGUACUUAUGGUUAUAAUUCAAUCAAAUUCGAGUAUUGUAGUCCAUUUACGAUAACAAAAUAAAAAAAUUAUUUAAUAAUCACAUAAUACGUUGUUAAACUUUUGUAAAGUAUAUGAUUUCAGAAGCUCAAACAAAAAAUUACAAUCCAAAUAUUUUAAAAAUAAUAGUUUAAAAUUUUCACGCAUCACAUAAAUAUAUAUACUUACUCCAAGCCUAUCCUAUCCGAAAUUUUCAGCUAUUGAUGUAGCCUCUUGUCGAUACUACUAGUCUUCUCGCUACCUACUAGAAAAAUUCCAUCAAAAUAGAUUGAAUCGACGACCUAUACUUCAACUAAAGGCACGAGGGCGUAGCGAGCUUAACUAUUAUCGUAAUAUAAGAUGAAAUCCACCCAUUUUGAUAUCACAUACACGUCUUUAAAACUGAUAAAAUAAUGAGGUCUACUCUUAGUCAAAAUUAAAUGAUUGUAGACCACAUCUACAGUUCCCAAUUGUCAACAAUUCGAUCCUCCGCGUUUGUGGUAGGUUUCACUUUCAUUUCUUCGGUUCGAUUUUAUCAAAUUUUAAUUUGAUUCUUUAAUUUUUAAUUUUGGAAAAAUGUGUAUGGAAUGUUGAAUCGAAUUAAUUUGUUUAAUUAUCUUUUUAAAAAAUUAGUUUAAAACAAAAAUUGAAUUUCAAUAAAAUUUAAUGAAAAAAUUAUUCAAAUUGAUUAGGUAACCUUUUAAGUCAAAUAUCAAUAGUUGAAUAAUUUUAUAGGUAAAAUAUUCAUAAUUGAGUGACUUUGAGAUCAUACAAGAAAAUUGAGUGACUUUAUAAGAGAAAAAAUCUUAGUUAAAAUAAUUUUUUAUGAGAAAAAAUUCUUAAGUAACUUUAUGGCAUUAUAAAAAAAAAUUAACUCCUCUUUAAAUUAGAAUUACAAAAUUAAAAGUAAGUUCCAUUUUAAAGAUAAGGACAUUAUUAGUAAAAAUAAUUGGUGAACAUUUUCCAAUGAAAAAAUAAUAUUUUUCUAAAAUAGCUAAUAGAUGAUAAUUCGUUUCUUAGGCGUAAAAAUGUUAGGACAUGUUAGCCUCACUCAGUUGAAUAAAUUGCUCACCAAGAACAUAAUCAUUGAAUAUCCUAAAACAAAGUUUAAAAAUGAAUUAAAAAAAAAAUCAGUAAUAAAAAAAUACAUGCAAACUAUCUACAAAUGUAUUAUUAUUAAUUUUUAAAUAAAAAAGAGUAAAUGAAAGAGAAUAGAAGAUCUUUGACUUGUUAAUUAAGACAAAUAUUUGUCUAAUAUAAGUAUGUCGGUAAUAACAAUGUAGACUAAGAUCUGUACUUGUUUAUAUAUCCAUAUCCCUUAAUGUUAGGACCAUUAAAAUUAUUAAUUUAGUUUAACUAAUUAAUGGGAUCUUAUAAAUACAUUAAUAAUAUUACUGUUGUCGGUGAUUAAGUUAAUGCUAAUACUUAAUUGUUUUUUUUUUCCAAUUAAAAUGUCAAAGUCGUUAGAUGAACCAAAAUGGAAUCGUCCAUGAAGAUGGUACCAGAGUACAAUUAUUGAAUAAUAUCUUUUUUUUUUAACUUCAAAAAUUAAAGUGGAAUUCAAUUACCUACUUUAUAAAUGUAUGGCAACUUGGCAAUAAUUCAUUAAAUUUCAGGAAGAACAAAAACCAUCGAUAAUUGAGAUUAAUUUAAGAGAUAAAUGUCAAAAACACAUUUAAUAUAUUACAUAUUUUAAAAAAAUUCAUACUUCACCCCGUCUCUUUUCGAAAAAAUUGAUAUUAUUUUAUUUUUUUAAAAAUAGGAAUUCUAUCCAUCCUAUAUAACCUCCUGUACCUAAUUUUUUUAUAUAUAUUUUUGUGAGUUUGUAUUAGAUAUGUACAUAUAUUUUUAGGAAUUCUUUCUACUUGUGUACCAAAUAUAAAGUAAAUAAAACAUUUAUUUUUUAAAAAAGUCUUGAGGCCGUGGCAAAUAAAAAUUAUUUUCAAUAUGUUUAUAUCUAACACAAAAGGAGAAAAAGUUCGAAAGCGGACGGUUAGGUGGGGUAGGUAUAUUUUUUUUAAAGCAAAUUAGUAUAUAUAUUUUUUUGUGUGUGUGGGGUUGGGGGGGGGGGGGGGGUAAAAAAAAGUUAAAUACCUUUACAAAAGAAAUUUAAACAAAAAAAACUAAAAAAAAAAAGGGUGGGGGGAGGGUUGGACGGUUAGAGAAAGUGAUGGAGUGGGUAGGGAGGCGAGCAAAAUUGGGAGGGAGACGAGCAAACUUUGUACGUAUCGUAACCCAGAACAUGUGAAUCAAGCAAGAUACACACUAGGUACAUGUAUUUGUACGUGUCUAGAGGAAUUCACAUAUAUCUGGGAUAUCAUAUUCUUGGAAGAAUGACGAGCAAAAUGGAACAGAGGCAAGGAAGGAAAACGAGAUAUACUAUGUAUCCCAAAUACAUGCGAAUUCAAUAAAUAUAAUGUAUCUAGAACAAAUUACACCUAAAUUUGAUCGAGAUAUUCGAGAUACAUGUAUCUCAAGGCACCAAAAUCUGAUUUUUAUAUAUAUAUAUAUAUAUAUGAAAGUUUAUGUGAUCGAUAAAACUAAUAGCUUAGUAUUUCAAUGGUAUCAUUUCUACACAAAAUAGUUCUACCUCAAUUUAUGACAAAAAUGAUUUUAUUUAUAUGAGAUCAAAUUUAUAGGGUUUCGAUGACCAUGAUAAAACAGGAGAAUGUACAAAAAUACUUAAGUCCUUGUUUAUAAUAUACCAUUUUGCCAAAAUAUUUGUAGCUCGAUUAACUUUCUUAUAGAAAUGUUGAACCUUUCAAAUAAUAGUGCUUGAUAUAAUGAUAUAUUGUAAAUAUGAAAAGUGAUGUUUUUCAUUUUCCAAAGAAUACCACUAAAAUAGUUCUUUCUAACAUCAUGUAUAAAUUUUUAUGCAAGUAAAACAUUUUAAAUAAUAAUCUACGAAACUUGUUAUUUGAUCCUCAUAGAUAUUAUAACAUUUAGUUUUAGUGCUUAUGAAAAUAAUUUUGUUAGAACAAUAUUUCCAUUAUACGUAUAAAAAGUUCACAUUGUUCUUUGUUUUUAAAGAUACAAUAUCCUAAUUAUUUCAUUGUUAUUCCAUCUCUAUUAUUCAUUGAGCAUAAUUUGAAUAAUUUAUUUUUAUCAUAUUAUUACCAAUAUAAUCAUAGAAAGUCAAAUAAGAAAACUAAUUUUCCUUGUUACUAUUUCUUUGAUUAAUUGGAAUUAGAGACGACUAGUUAUUAUUAUGAGCAACUUUCACAUAUAGCAAACAAAAAAUUUAUAUUUGUAUGCUAAUUAAGCUCCAUAGCAAACAUAAAACUGUAUAAUUUGCUAUACAUAUACAAUUGUAUAAUUCGCUGGCCUAUUUCGCUGCAAUAGUAUAAUUUGUUUUGCAUACAGUUGAAUCGAAUUAAAAUGUAUGUAUAUUGCAUAAUUAUAAGUGUAUAGCAAGAAGAUAUAUGUUUUUCUCGCUUUAUACAAAAACAGAAACACAAUAUAUACACUUUUGUUGUAUAAAGCUAGAGAAAAUUGUAUUUCACUGCAAUUGUAUAAUUCGCAAUUGUAUAAUUCGUUGGCCUUUUUCUCUGCAAUAUUUGAAGUAAAAUGUUUGCAAAUUGUGUAAUUAAGUGUAUAACAUGAAGAUAUACAUUUUUGCAUGUGUAUAUACAAUUUUCUCUCGCUUUAUACAAAACAGAAACAGAAUUAUACACUUCUGUGUAUAAAGCGGGAGAGGCGAGCGAGAAUGGAGAGUGGCGAGCGAGAUUUUUGGGAGAGAGACGCUGGCAAAUUUUAGCUAAUGUUUGCUAUGGAGCAAAAUUAAAUCAAAUCCUAGCUAUUCCAUUUAAUUUAGGUUAUUAGUUUGCUAUUAUAUACAAUUUUUUCUAUUAUUAUUAAUCGGAUGCAUUUCACUCCGCACAUAAAUAACUUCCAAUAAUUUAAUAUUAAUUAUAUAUGCUCUAUUAAAUAAUUUUUAAAUAUAAAAUAAUAUUAUGGUAGAUUUGGGGGUGUCAAAAUCAAGUCAAUUUGUCAAACUCCCCUAUUCCAUUUAAUUUAUCAACUUUAACUCAUCUCAACCUAAUUUAGUUUAAUUCAUAUUUAAACAGUGAAUUGAUAUAUAAUUCAAAUUAGCUUAUCAAAAUAUUUUUAAAAUAAUAUUUUUAAAAUUUGAUAUGUUAUAUAUAGUCGUAAUAAAGAAAAAAAUAAACUUAUUAGGUGCUAAAAAAUUUUAAAAAGAGCAAACUAAACAACUAAAUUUUAGUAAAAAUUGAAGGGGUUAUAUUAGAAAUCGAAUUUAACUUAAUUAUGUCCAAUUCAUUUCAAUUCAAAUAGACAAUAGCUAAUGAUCCAUUCAUUUGUUAACUCAUUAAAAUUCAAUCGGUUCAAAUUCAGGUCAACUCUCCUAUACCAAACUUCUAGUAGAUCUUAAUCAAUAAAAAUUUGGACACGAAAACAAUUCAUUCAUUUCAUCCAUCAAAUUAUUAAUAAGUGACACCAUCUUAGCGACCCAGUUCAUUGUAUUAUAUUAAGAAAAAAUAACUUAAAUACACAAUUAUAAGUUUUAUAUUUUCUAAUUUUCCCUUCUUUUUUUUAAAUAUUACAUAAUUUCCUUUUUUUAAAAUUUUAGUGUAAGUUUAUAGAUACAUUACAUUCUCUCUCCUAUAGUACACAAUUACCCAUUUUAAUGCCUAUUUAUUCUCCAUUAAAACACUCAACCUUUUAAAUAAAAGACCUAAUUUUGAAUUUCAAAAUUCAAAAAAUUUCAAAUUUCAAAAAUCAGGUUCUCCCGUUUUUCUUACUCCAUCAAGUUUCACUUCCUUUUUUUCCAUAAUCAUCUUCCUUCUUCUUAACCUAGCAGAAUUUAUUGGUUUCUUCUUUUUAUUCUUAAUCCAUCAUCUUUUUCUUCUUAAUCUGUAAUCGUCUUAACCCAAUAUCUUUUUAUUAUUAAUCCAUCAUCAGUUCGUCUUUUCUUCUCUUUUUUCUUUUUGUUAAUUGUUCUAUUACAUUAUAGUAAUGGAUCCGUUAAUUAAUAGAAGGAUAUAUGAUUCCGACGAUGAAAAUUGGAAAGAAAAUAGGAAAAAGUUUUUGCAUGAUCCUAUGAAUCUUCAGAAGGAUUCAAACAAAGACUCUGGCGAAACAUCAAAAUCAAAGGUUAUCAAAAUACAACAAAAAAAGAAAAAAGAAGCAGCAAACAUUGUUGUUAGGCCUACAUUGUCUCGGGUUAGUAUUUUGGUACUUAAAACUGUUGUUGAAAUUAGUAAAAAUUUUAAGGAAUCUAGUGUGCUUGCCGAUACAUUUGAAUAAGUGUGUAUAGUGUUUUAGAGGUGAAUUGAUACAUGAAUUUAUUGUGUAUCAUAAUAUUUUAUAUGUAUCAUGAAGUUUUGAAAAUUGUUAUAAUGUAUCAUUCAAUAAGUUUAGUAAAUACGUCAUCAACUGUGCUUGAUGAUACAUAUAGAAUCAGUGUGUACGGUGUUUAGUCAAUUCACUGAUACAUGUAGGAGAUAUGUAUCACAUGUUUUGCAUAUAGUAUGAAUUUCUGAAAACUGAUAUCAUGUAUCAGUAAGGUAUUAGUUGUUUAGUUGAUGUACUGAUACAUGUUUGAAAAUUGUUAUAAUGUAUCAUUCACUAAGUUUAAUAAAUGCGUCAUCAACUGUACUUGAUGAUACAUAUAGAAUCAGUGUGUAUAUUGUUUAGUCGAUGUUUCUGAUACAUGCAUUAGAUACGAAAUUGAAUCUCCAACAACGAUUCCGUCGAUUUUGUAACUUUCAUACUGCAAUUCGUUCACCUAAAUUCCGGAAUGUCUCAUCAAAAUCGAAGUAUUCAUCUUGAAAAAUCCACUGUAACAACAAUAAAAUUACUGUAGUUCGAAAUUUAACAGAUUGUUCAAAAAAAUUGUUUUCAAAAUAGAUGACAUAAUCUUUGUUUUUCAAAAUUUGAAAUUAAUAUCCAAUUAAGUGCUUAUUUUAUGCUGAUUAAUGAUAUGUUACCGUAAAUUUAGCUGUUUUAUUAACAACAUUAACUGUACCGUUUUCCCCCUUUUUUUUCUCAACAGUUUAAAAUUACCAUGUAUCAUUUACCUUGUAUCACGAGAGUCUAAAGUAUCACGGCUCAACAAAUUUAAGAGAUUUUUUGUAAAUACUAAAUUUGUCUGGACAAAAUGAAAUUAUUGAAUUACACUAUAGGAUUCCUUAAAUUUUUACUUAUAUUAAUCUUUAGUAUGGGGACCUAAAUAUUUAACUUUCCAAUUCCUUUAGGGGUCAAUUUGAUUGAUUAUAAUGAGUGAAUUAUACUAUAAAAAUUGAAAUAAUAAUUAAUGUUUGUAGAGCAUAUUAAAUUAUUUUAUCAUGACUACAGUUGGUGUUAAUUGAAUUGGAAAUAAGAUAUAUACGGUAUAUAAUAUAUAUAGAAAUUUUAAUUUGAUUCGUUGAUUUUGUAUUUUCAGACAAAUUUUAUUUUUAAUUUUACCUUUCUUAAAGAACUUUUAGUUUGGUUGUUUUAUCAUGGAAUUAGCUAAUUAUUAAUCUAGAGAAUUGCUAUUCCAUAUACAACUUUGGUACAAUUAGAGAAUUAUAAUAUAAUUAAUUUCAAAAUUACUUAUAUUUAGGAACAAAAGUUUCAAUCAAACGAUAAAUAAUUGAAUAUUUUAUCUCAGAAUUAGUAUUAUUAUUAUUAAUACUAAUUAACGAUCCUAAGUUUCGAUUUUGUCACUCCGGUCCUUUUCUUUUAAUCUUUUCACAAACCAACUACAUUUGAUUGCAUUAACUAUAAAGUCCAUUUGCAUUAUUUUACAUAUCAAUUAAUAUUACUAAACUAAAUUUAUCUAUAAUUACUGAUUUAAAUGUAUACCUAUUUUCUCACCAACAUGGCAUAUAUAUUAGACUCAUUAAAAUUAAACGUUGCUUCAUGUGGUGUGUUCAAUUGGUUAGACUAUCUCGUCAAAUAUAUUGUUCGCAAAUAAACAAUGCUCAAAUGAAUGAUAUUAAUGUUGUUGGUGAAUAUUACAAGCUUCUCGUAACGUUUUGUUAGCUUACGUAUGAAUGUGCAAUAUUAUUUCUACUUAUUUUGUCAAACACUAAAAAAGUAAGUAAAAAACUUGUUUAUGUGAGAUAAUAUUUUUCUUUGUACCUAAAAAGUGCAUUAAUUUAUAUAGCUAAAAUAGUGCAAAGUUGAGGCCUCCACGCAUUAUUUUUGGUGAGAAGAAGAAUGAGAAGACUUUCUAUCUCUUUGAAUUAUUGCAUCACAAACAGUAUAGCUGCCUUAAUAGUUUAUUCAUUUGCUUAGCUUAAUGCCUCUAUCCAUCAAAUUAAAUAUACAACUAACAAGACAAAACCAAAUGAAAAUGCAUAACUCUAGGAUUUUACCUACAUUUGUAUAAAUUUUGGUAAGGGUAUCUGUCUAAAUGAAAACUAUAUAAAGGGGUUUGAGUGAAGCUUAAGAUGACAACAACUUUCUCCUUUGUUUCGAAUAUGGGGAAAAUGGCCUUUCUAGUUGCCACCCUUUUAGUGGUUUUAGUGUCACUUAGCUUAGCAUCUGAAAUUUCAGCUAAUUAUCAAUACUCAUCUCCCCCACCACCAAAGGAGCCAUACCACCCUUCACCAACACCAUAUCAUCCCACACCAGUUUACAAUUCUCCACCACCACCAAAAGAGCCAUACUACCCUCCACACACUCCAGUGUACAAGUCGCCACCACCCUCGACACCUAUUUACAAGUCGCCACCACCACCCAAAGAGCCAUACUACCCUCCACACACCCCUGCCUACAAGUCACCACCUCCACCAACUCCAGUUUACAGGUCGCCACCACCUCCCAAGGAGCCAUACUAUCCUCCACACACACCAACCUACAAGUCGCCACCUCCACCAACUCCCGUUUACAAGUCACCACCACCUCCAAAGGAACCAUACUACCCUCCACAUGCACCAACCUACAAGUCGCCACCACCUCCCAAGGAGCCAUACUACCCUCCCCACACCCCAACCUACAAGUCCUCACCUCCACCAACUCCGUUUUACAAUUCACCACCACCUCCCAAGGAACCAUACUACCCUCCUCACACACCAACCUACAAGUCGCCACCCCCACACAAGGAUCCAUACUACCCUCCACACACACCAACCUAUAAGUCACCACCUCUACCAACUCCUGUUUACAAGUUGCCACAACCACCCAAGGAGCCAUAUUACCCUCCACACACACCAACCUACAAGUCACCACCUCCACCAACUCCCAUUUACAAGUCACCACCACCUCCCAAGGAGCCAUACUACCCUCCACACACACCAACCUACAAGUUACCACCUCCACCAACUCCCGUUUAUAAGUCGUCGCCACCACCAUCCAAAGAGCCAUACUACCCUCCACACACACCAACCUACAAGUCACCACCUCCACCACCUCCCGUUUAUAAGUCUCCACCACCACCCAAGGAGCCAUACUACCCUCCACACACACCGACCUACAAGUCACCACCUCCACCAACUCCCGUUUACAAGUCCCCACCACCUCCUAAGGAGCCAUACUACCCUCCACACACACCGACCUACAAGUCACCACCUCCACCAACUCCCGUUUACAAGUCCCCACCACCUCCUAAGGAGCCAUACUACCCUCCACACACACCAACCUACAAGUCACAACCUCCACUAACUCCCGUUUAUAAGUCGUCGCCACCACCACCCAAGGAGCCAUACUACCCUCCACACACACUAACCUACAAGUCACCACCUCCACCAACUCCUGUUUAUAAGUCGCCACCACCACCCAAGGAUCCAUACUACCCUCCAAACACCCCAACUUACAAGUCGCCACCUCCACCAACUCUCAUUUACAAGGUUCCACCACCAGCCAAGGAGCCAUACUACCCUCCACACACACCGACCUACAAGUCACCACCUCCACCGACUCCCCUUUAUAAGUCCCCACCACCUCCUAAGGAGCCAUACUACCCUCCACACACACCAACCUACAAGUCACCACCUCCACCAACUCCCGUUUAUAAGUCGUCGCCACCACUACCCAAGGAGCCAUACUACCCUUCACACACACCAACCUACAAGUCACCACCUCCACCAACUCCCGUUUAUAAGUCUCCACCACCAACCAAGGAUCCAUACUACCCUCCACACGCCCCAACCUACAAGUCGCCACCUCCACCACCUCCCACUUACAAGUCGCCACCACCACCAAAGGAGCCAUACUACCCUCCACACACACCAACCUACAAGUCAUCACCUCCACCAACUCUCAUUUAUAAGUUGUUGCCACCACCACCCAAAGAGCCGUACUACCCUCCACACACACCAACCUACAAGUCACCACGUCCACCAACUCCCAUUUAUAAGUCGUCGCCGCCGCCACCCAAGGAGCCAUACUACCCUCCACACACACCAACCUACAAGUCACCACCUCCACCAACUCCCGUUUAUAAGUCGCCACCACCACCCAAGGAUCCAUACUACCCUCCACACACCCCAACCUACAAGUCGCCACCUCCACCAACUCCCGUUUACAAGUCGCCACCACCACCCAAGGAGCCAUACUACCCUCCUCACACACCAACCUAUAAGUCACCACCUCCACCAAGUCCCGUUUACAAGUCGCCACCACCACCCAAGGAUCCAUACUAUCCUCCACACACCCCAACCUACAAGUCGCCACCUCCACCAACUCCCGUUUACAAGUCGCCACCACCACCCAAGGAGCCAUACUACCCUCCUCACACACCAACCUAUAAGUCACCACCUCCACCAAGUCCCGUUUACAAGUCGCCACCACCACCCAAGGAGCCAGACUACCCUCCACACACCCCAUCCUACAAGUUACCACCUCCACCAAUUCCCAUUUACAAGUCGCCACCACCACCAACUCCUGCCUACAACUCUCCUCCACCACCUUACUAUCUUUACACCUCUCCCCCUCCUCCCUACCAUUACUAAAAAGCCACUUCAUUAUAUCGAGGUAAUUAAGACAAACUAAAACUAUUACUAAUGAUGUGUCUAAAAUGCAAAGCAAUAAGUUGCUCAAUUUCCUCAUGCAAAUCAUUAAUAUAUAGACCUAUGCAGUCUAUAUUCUUAUUUGGAUAACUUUAAUUACAUGUUCUCAUUCACAAAAUUAUAUUCUUAUGCAGGAAAAGCAAAAUGUUGAGCUUAAAGAAAGGCAUUUUACAUUUUCGAGAGACGAUGAAAAAAGAAGAAAACUAUAGUAAAUAAUAAGCCCCACAUAAGUCGAAGUUCUUUUGUAGCUUCAUGUUAUCUAAGCUAGUGAUACUGUUUGUACUCUAUUAUUUAUAUUUGUAUUUUUACUUUUAUGUCUUUCUGUAUGUUUGCUCAGUUUUAAUAUCCUAGCAAAAUGCAAAGAUUAAUUAUGAGAUGAAUAAAAUAAGUUAUUACUAUUAUACAGUUUUAUGUUUUCCUUCUCUCUGAUCUAUUCGAUCUUAAUUAGUCCUUUUUUUGGUCUUAUUUCUUCAUCUUUAUAUCGAAGGCGAGGCUCAACGAUUACAUUAAAUCAAUCAUCAUACAGAUAAAAUUGAUGACAAAUUUAACGUUAAGAUAUCAUCAAAAUCUCAAUAACAAUUUACAGAUCGAAAUCUUAGUAUCGAUUGAUUAAUAACCUAAACUUUCGCCAUGAAGACUUGAAUCCCUAAUCCCGUCCUUCAUUUCCCAUAUCUCUACCCACACAUUAUCUUUUAAGAAAGAAGAAGUAACAACCAAAAUAAACAUUAUAUCUAAAGUGAUAAUAUGAUAACAAUACAAAUAGGCAACAAUACAAUUAAAGAAAAAAAAAAAAGUUACUCCCACGAUGUCAACACGUAUGCUAGACUGACCAAUAAAGUUAGACAAAUUUCAAAAUUGACAAUAGCAAAGUAUACGUACGUAGCAUAUAGCAACCAAUCAAUGAAUAAAUUAUUCCUAAAGUAGUCAUUAUCAUCUCAUAUACUAUAUUUGGUAAAAUACUAAGAUUAAGUCAACAUAAUUCAGUCUACCGUUUGGUAAUUUAUAACAAAUAGUGACAAUAUUAAUAAAGUGAUUGGUGCUCUCUUUUGGCCCACCCCCAAGAAGAUCGUGAACGCAUAUUUUAAAUUUGAUUUGAUUACCACUUUUUAAUAUCUUUAAAAUAAAACUUGUAUAUUUAAAAAAUUAAAAAUUAUUAUUAUUAUUUAAUUAUAUAAAUAAAAUAUUUUAAAAUACAUUAGUAUCUUAAUAGAGAAAAGAUUAAAAAAUUAAAAAUUAUUAUUAUUAUUUAAUUAUAUAAAUAAAAUAUUUUAAAAUACAUUAGUAUCUUAAUAGAGAAAAGAUUGUUUGUUUGAUUUUCUAAAGUAACAGAGUCGGAUGAGAUAGUUGAUUAAUUUGACGGUUUGAAUAAUAUAAUCUUCUUGAUAAAUAAUCAUCAACCCAUCAUGCAUGUUUUAUAUUUAUUGAUAGAAACUUUGAUGGAUUGAUUUGUUGGUGCCGCCUCAACAUAGAGAAAAGAAAAAGAACAAGUUAUUUCAAUCUAUUACACUUUAGAGAUUAAAAAAAACAUUUUUUAAAGCAGUGAUAAAAUUGAUAAUAAUAAGUUGUUAAUAUGUUUGGCAAAAAGAGUGUCGAUUAACUAUUUUUUGCUAUAGUAUUGAAAUAUCUUUAGAUUUUUUAACCCCCAAAAAAGGUUUAAAACUACCUCUGUAAAGAAAAGGAGUUUAUUUUUAGAAAAUAUAUCUCGAGAAAUAAAGUAAGAUAAAGGAUAAAAUCGUGAAAGAAAAAUGUUGAUAAGCAAACAAAAAAAUCAAAGUUAGGAAUGACCAAUUUAUUGAAUAUAACUAAAUUGUCUUAAAUAAGCAACUUAGCUUAUAAAUAUAUAUAUAAAAUUAUUUUUAUAUCAGUUUGAUCAAUUAAUAAUAAAUUGAUUAUGCAUGAAAUAAUAGGAAGUGUUCUAAUUAAAAAGAAUACAAGGAAAAAGGUGCAGUAUUGUGUACGAUCGACCAAACAUACAUUCGUUAUUAAUUAUUAUUAAGCUAAUUAGACAACGCUAUCUUAUUAAUUUAUUAUAGAGCUGUCGAUAUUAGUUUAGAUAAUUAAAUUAUAUAAAAUUCAUUUAAUUCAAUCAAAGCUUGACUUGUUAAAUGUUAGGUUUAUGAUAUGAUUAAUUAUAUAUAUAAUUCACUAUGAUUUUACGCGACUUGUUAAUCAAGACCUUAUUUAACAUAUUGAUUAAGUUAUUAGUUAUAUAACUAAUAAAAAUAUAUUUUAAAUAAUAAAUGGUUAUUGAGAGAAAACUUCCAUGCAAUUAUCAUAAUAAGAAACUUCUUAAGAAAUUGUCUCUAAUUAGAUAAUUGGAUGGUGACUCUUUUGUUUAAAAAAAAUUGAAUCAAUCAAGAUUUUAUUGCUAUUAAUUGUGAACUACAAUUUGUAGAAGGGGAGCAUAAACCUAGAUAUUAACUAUGCACAACAUGAGUGUGCAAGAUUAUUUUGUUUAUUUAUUUUGAUUCAAUUCAGUAUCCGAUAUUCAUAUUAGAUUCUCAAUCAAAUUUGUAUUUACAUUAAAAAAAUUCAGUGCUCCUUAACAGAGGCAACAACUCUGUACUCAGGAGAACUCGAAUUCGAGACCUCUAAACAAGAAUAAAGAAGUAUUUGUUAUUCCAUAACAAUUUUUAUUGAUAAAAGAAACUCGUAGUAUCAUGAAAAGAUAAUAGAUUAUCUAGGCCUAAUGGAAAAUUCAGUCAAGCUUUAGAGGGAAAAUUAUGGCAUAGCAAAGUUACAAACUUUAUAGUAUGAUUAACUUAAUUACAAGACCGUUAAAUUGAAUGCAACCCCAAUAACUUUUCUUUCAAUAAAUAUUUGGCCUUUGUGAGCUUUAUUUGAACUCUCUCUUCCUUCAUAAACUUGACCAUCAGCAAUAUUUUCCUUUCCUCUUUUAUUUUAUUGCUCACUCGAUAGUCAGCUUUUAAGAUUGACUUGAUGUUUCGAUAAGCGAAAGGUGUAAAUCCAGAUUAUGCUCAAGUAUCUAAGUGAUAUAUGAAUUGCAAACUUUUUGCAUAUGCAUUUGAGAAGAAAAUAAUUAUCACAAGAAAAUAAAUAAUUAGCAUGCGGUAAAUUAUUAACGUAGUUAAAUAAUGUUAUAGUCUUAUAAAUUAAAAUAAAGACAAGGCAACAAUUGUCACUAAUUAUUUGUAUUGUUAGCAACAAAAACUAAGAGAACAUAAAUAAUAUAUACUUAAUGGCUCAAUUUUACACCAUUUCACUAUAAAUAACUUUAUGUCGCUAAUUUGAUUACAUAUUUUUGUGACGAAACUUAUUUUGUAUCCAAACUUAAACGAAUUUAAAGAUAAAUAUGAUUUAUCAUAAAUAUUCAGUAAAAACAGGGAGAAAAUUUAUCAUCAUCAAUAUCCUCAAUUUCGUCGCUAAAAUUACCUUACAAUUUGAUUUAAUUAUAAAUUGAAAAUCAAAUUUAAAAAUGAUUAAAUUUGUGAUGUUGGUGCAAAAUGCACGUAUCAAAUUAAACCCACCUUUAGGUCUAAGAAAAUGGUGAGCACAUCUUAACCAUUAUUCUUCAACUCAUUUCAUCUCUUCCUCAAUUAAUUAUGCAAAUAAUAAAAAUAUUUCUUUUUCCAUUCAAUGUCUGUGUUUUAUAUUGAAGUUCCAAUUAACUCUAGAUUAGAAACCGGAGGCGAGGGCACAUUUAAAGGUGAUGCUUCCUAUACGACUCAUGUAGUAAAAAAAAUUAUAAAAAAAACCACCACAAUAAUUAUAUACGCUUCAAAAAAAAGAAGAGAAUAGAAUAGCAUCCUAUUCAUAGAGAAAACUAUACUUGAUAGUUAACUGGUAGCAAAACUUUUGCACAAGAUUAAUUAUAUUUGUAUAGUUGAUUUAUUCAAGGUUUUAAUUAGAAGAGGUCUAGGAUUCUAUUUAUUUUUAUCCAUAUUUUUUAAACAAUAAAUUUGCUACAAAAGGAUGUCUGUGACAAAUCAUGUCUCCUAAAUAUAAGCACUUGUGUGAAGGUUAGUUGAGUGUAAAGUUGAGGCAUCCACGCAUUUUUUUUUUCAAAGGUUCUGUAAAAAGAAAACAAGAUUUUGUAGCUCUUUGAAUCAUUCUGUCACAAACAGUAUAGUUCCCUUAAUAGUUUAUACAUUUGCUUAGGAUGAUGCCUCUAUAUAUCUAUCAAAUUAAAUAUACAAACUAAAGUCAAAAUUGAGCCAACAACAUGUCAAGACUAAAUAAACAUAUGCAUAACUCUACCAUAUUACCUACAUUUGUAUAAAUUUUGGUAAGGGUAAUUUCUAAAUGAAGUCUAUAUAAAGGGGUUUGGGUGAAGCUUAAGAGGACAAAAACUUCUCUCCUUUGUUUCAAAUAUAGGGAAAAUGGCCUCUCUAGUUGCAACUCUUUUAGUGGUUUUAGUGUCACUUAGCUUACCAUCCGAAAGUUCAGCUAAUUAUCAAUACACAUCUCCCCCACCACCAAAGGAGUCAUACCACCCUUCACCAACACCUUAUCAUCCCGUACCACUUUACAAGUCUCCACCACUGCCAACUCCAGUUUACAAUUUUCCACCACCACCCAGAGAGACGUACUACCCUCCACACACUCCAGUGUACAUGCCGUCACCACCCUCGACACAAAUUUACAAGUCGCCACCACCACCCAAGGAGCCAUAUUACCCUCCACACACCCCAACCUACAAGUCGCCACCUCCACCAACUCCUAUUUACAAGUCUCCACCGCCGCCAACUCCCUUUUACAAUUCUCCACCACCACCCAAGGAGCCAUACUACACUUCGCCACCUCCACCAACUCCUACUUACAAGUACCCACCGCCACCAACUCCGGUUUACAAUUCUCCACCACCACCUAAGGAGCCAUACUACCCUCCACACACCCCAACCUACAAGUCGCCACCUCCACCAACUCCUGCUUACAAGUCUCUACCGCCGCCAAUUCCAGUUCACAAUUCUCCACCAUCACCCAAGGAGCCAUACUACCCUCCACACACCCCAACCUACAAGUCGCCACCUCCACCAACUCCUGCUUACAAGUCUCUACCGCUGCCAAUUCCAGUUCACAAUUCUCCACCAUCACCCAAGGAGCCAUACAACCCUCCACACACCCCAACCUACAAGUCGCCACCUCCACCAACUCUUGCUUACAAGUCUCCACCGCCACCAACUCCGAUUUACAAUUCUCCACCACCACCCAAGGAGCCAUACUACCCUCCACAUACCCCAACCUACAAGUCGCCACCUCCACCAACUCCCAUUUACAAGUCGCCACCGUCACCAACUCCGGUUUACGAUUCUCCACCACCACCCAAGGAGCUAUACUACCCUCCACACACCUCAACCUACAAGUCGCCACCACCACCGAAUGAGCCAUACUACCCUCCACACACACCAACAUACAAGUCGCCACCUCCACCAAUUCCAAUCUACAAGUCACCACCUCUUCCAACUCCUAUUUACAAGUCGCCACCACCACCCAAGGAGCCAUACUACCCUCCACAUACUCCACUUUCACCGUCUUCAGUUUAUAAGUCUCCACCUCCACCAACUCAUGUUUACAAGUCGCCGCCACCACCUAUAGAGCCAUACUACCCUCCACACACCCCAAUCUAUAAGUCGCCACCUCCACCGAUUCCUGUUUACAAUUCACCACCUCCACUAACUCCAGUUUAUAAGUCACCACCACCACCCAAAGAGCCUCACUACCCUCCACACACCCCAGUGUAUAAGUCACCACCACCACCCAAGGAGCCAUACUAUUCUCCACAAAAUCCAGUCUACAAGUCGCCACCUCCACCAACUCCCAGUUACAAGUCGCCAACACCACCCAAGGAGCCAUAUUAUCCUCCACAUACCCCAACUUACAAGUCACCACCUCCACCAACUCCAGUAUACAAGUCGCCGCCACCACCCAAGGAGCCAUACUACCCUCCACACACCCCGACCUACAAGUCGCCACCACCACCGAAGGAGUCAUACUAUCCUCCACACACCCCAACCUACAAGUCACCACCUCCACCAACUCCUGUUUCCAGCUCUCCACCACCACCAACUCCAGUCUACAAGUUUCCACCACCAACAGAUUAUGUUUACACCUCUCCCCCUCCUCCCUACUAUUACUAAGAAGAGAUUUCAUUAUAUCUAAGGUAAUUAAACCAAACUAAAACUUUUAAUUAUGAUAUGUCUAUAGAAGUUGCACAAUUUCUUCGUUCGAAUAAUUAAUAUAGACCUGUAUACUGUCUACAUCUUAUUUGGUUUAGGUUCUAUUAUAUGUUCUCAUUCACAAUACUAAUUAUAUUCUUAUGCAGGAAAGAUGCAGAAUGUUGAGCUAAAAGAAAAUAAGCCCACACAGGAGGCAAAGUUUUUUUGUAGCUUCAUUUUGUAUAAGUUAUUGUUUGUACCCUAUAUUAUAUUUAUAUUUUACUUCUAUUUAUUUGUGUAAUAUGUUUGUUCGAUCUCCUUGCAACAUGCAGCCAUUAUGAGAUGUAUAAAAUAUGUUAUUACUAUAUAUACUGUCUUUUUUCUUAUUUUUGUCAUCCCUUAUAUUGAGUUAUAUUUAUAAGUUGAGCCUCUUAUCAAUUACAUUAAAUCAGUUGCUAUAAAAAAUGUGGUUUUUCACCACCAAUAAGUUCAACGAUAAGCUACAAUCAACUGGGAAUAUUAGUAGCUUCAAUAGAAAAUGUUAAUAGCUCCGUUGAUUAGUUAUUUGAACUUUUUAUCUUUAUUACACGUCGCAAUAACAAUCAAUGUAAAUAUUAUAUCUAACCUCUGGACUUAUGCCCACAUAAUUCCUCAAUGCACCCACACAAAAUAUUGAAAUUAAAUAUUAUUACUUGCCUAUUUCUCUUAUCUUGAUUAUUAGUUUUCAGGGAUGAAAGUUUAAUUGUUACACCUUUCACUUUUUUAAAAAAAAAAAAAAGGAAUGGACAACCAACUGAUUUCGUAUCUGAUUGUAGUUGUUGAAGGCAUAUUGUAAUAAUUAAAUUUUCGUUUUUGAAAAAUAAUAAUCAAAAAAUAGAAAAUAUCAAUAAAUAAUAAUAUUUAAUUUUAUUUAUUUGUGCACGAUUUAACAAUCAUUAGAGAUUUCACACUAAAAUGUUUAAUUUUUUUGUUUUUUCUUUUUUUCUCUUCAUGACUAUCAACUCAAAAGUUUUGCUUUUUACCUGAAUUGAUGGAAUACUUGUUGAAAGUUUACCACGAAUGCAUAAUCAAUUUUUAAUCACAUUCGAGGAGGCAUAAAACGACUCACAACUUGAAGGCAAAAAAGAGUUGUAUGCAGAAGACUGCAAAUCAUUAUUGAAUAUUUUUUUAUAUAGGCAUCAGCUAGGGUUUGAAAUAUUUGAUCUAAUCGACUUUAGGUUUGAGAAUAUGAGUUGUGUUGGAUUAGACUUGUAAAUUUAAUAAUGGACUAACCUAAAUUUAAUCGAAAAAUUACCUAACUACAUAUAUAUUUUUUUAUCCUAUUUUCUAUUAUUUCAUAUAAUUUAUAAAAAUUACAAAAAUCUUUUUUUUCUCUCAAAUUCGCUCCUUUCAAGAUUCAUAACUUUAAAUCUUCCAACUCACAAUUUCUCCUUUUUCUCAGGCCUAUAAUCGCUCUACUAUAUUACUAGUUACCUUCAUCUCCUAUAUUUUGAAUUUUAGAUAUUUUUCUCUCUCCCGUUUAUAAUUUAAUUGAGUAUGUAUCAUAUGUUUGUUAUGUAUGUGAAGUACUAUUUUAUAACUAAAUCAUUGUUUAUCAUAUUCAUAAGUUUUUUUUAUAUGAUACAUAGCUAUGUCAAAUUAUACCGGCAUGAUACAUAAAUACUAAUUUAUGCUACAUGUAACGAUCUCAAAUCAAACAACUUAUGAGCAACAAUUACAUGUUAAAUGUAUCCCGUAACAAUACGAUACUUAUUAAUUUAAACGAGAUAAAUAAAUAGUAAUGUAUCAUGUAUUAGUUUUUAGAUGUGAUACAUAAAUUCGAAUUUGGACUACAUGUAUUAAUUACAUAGAAACUACCACGCGGUGAUGUAUCCAUCACAAAUGUAACAUCUUAUGGGCAACAAUUACUUAUUUAAUGUAUCUACUAUAAAUACAAUACUAAUCAAUUGAGACGAGAUACACAAAUAGUAAUGUAUCAUGCAAAAAAAUUUUUUACUUGAUAUGUGAAUUCGAAUUUAUACUAAAUGUAUCAAUUACAUAGCAACUACCACAUUGUAAUGUAUCGAUCUCGAAUUCAACAUCUUAUGGACUAUAAUUAUUUAUUUAGUGUAUUUAGUAUAAAUACAAUACUUAUCAAUUUAAACAAGAUACAUAAAAGUAAAAUGCUAAGUAGACAAGAUAUUCAUGAUAAUAUUCUCAAUUUUUUUGAGAUUCUUCAAUAAACUAGGAGAAGAAUUCUGAAUCUCAAAAUUUACAACAAUUUUGAAUCAAAAUUAAAAAGAUCUUUGAUGAACUGGAGAACAAAGAAUCUUAAUCUCAAAAUUUUUAACAAUCUUGAAUCAAAACUGAAAGGAAUAUCUUUGAUGAUCUUGAAGAUUCAAAAGAAAAUUGUUUAUCCAACAACAAUUUUGUCACUUUUGUAUCAUUCAUAAUUCACUUCGCUUACCCAAAAUUUCGACAAAAGUUUUUGGAUCAAAUGUGAAAGGUUUCUUUGUUGAACGGGGGGAUCAACUAGAAAUUUUAAAUUUCUUCGUUCUGUAUGGAUUUGAUUCUGUAUGAUUGAGAGUAAAAAGAAAUAUAAGCGUAAUUUAUGGAAUUUAAUUAGUUUUCAGAUUUUAUUUUCUUUUUAGCGCAACAGAAAGAUUCUUUUUGUAUUAAAAUUAGUGUAUCUAGAUGGUGGUGACUUAUGUAUUUGUUGAAGGAAGCUGAUGGAACAGGUUUGGUAGUAUAUGACUUUUUUCCUAUAUAAGGAUGAUGUAACUCAAUCAUUCAUUCAUCAAUAUAAUCCUUGAUUCUUCACAUACAUAUCUGUGAGAAUUCUACAUCCGAAAGGUACAAAUUUUAACGGAUCAUUUUAUUAGAAAAAAAUAGAGAUAAAAUAUAAUGUAUUCUUUACAUUACGAAGUUUACGUAAGUUAAUCAAAUUUGAUUAAACUUCCCUUAAAUCAUAAAAGUUUAACUUAAUAUUAUUCCAACUUUAUUAUAGAUAUAUAUAAUUGGAAAAAAAAACAAACAAAAUAGAACAUAAGAUCUCGAUCGCUGGACAAAUGUUUGUCUAUAAUAAAUAAAUAUGUCGGUAAUAAUUAUUGACUAGGUCAAUGUAGCUAAGGUUUGUACUUGUUUAUACUUACAUCCUAUCUCUUGGGACGAUUAAAAAAAUAUUAGUUUAGCUUAUUUAAUAAUGGAAUCUUAUAUGGAGUUUACUAAUUUUAUCUUUGUCGGUGAUUAAGUUAUACAAAUGAUUAAUUAUUUUUCUAAUUAAAAAGUCAAAAGUCAUUAUUGGAUGAACCAAGAAUCUUCCAUGUAUUUGAAUACUUUUUCUGUCUCCCUUAAAUCGUGAUGGCUUUUUUGUAAGUUAAAUAAUAAAAAAUUUUAUUAAUGUUUUGUUGAUAUAAGAAAUUAUAAAAUAAGUAUUUUUGUAUAAUAUAUUUAAAUUUUUAAUUUAAAUUUAAAUUUUAAAAAUUAGUUAUAUUAACUGUUAAAAAACCGUACAACGACUAAAACGGGACGGCUUGUUCUCUUCUUUCUUUUAUUAUAAAUAAAAAUAAAAAUUUAACUAAUGUGCAAUCAAUAAUGUUAAUUAUUUAUUCAAAGUUUAAAUUAAACACAUAAAAGUGAAAAGUAUAAAGCCUUCAACCGAUUCGAUUCAUUUAAUUAUGUUUCUUAAGAUAUUCCAUAUUUUCAAAUUUUAAAGAGAACUAUAAAUUCCUACAUUUAAAACUACAUACAUUAUUAAAAUGUGCCUAUAUAACACGCAUUUAAAUUAGUUGUGCUCAAAUAUAGAUAUCAAACAAGGAAUAAAACAUAAAGUGAAUUACUUAAACUAUAAUUAUAUAUUAAGUAAUUAAAUCAAAUCGUGUAAUUUAAUUAAUUAUACUACCAAAAUAUUAACUUCAACGAUAUGAAGUAACGCAAUGUACCUUUAAAGUUUCACAAAAUUUAAUUAGGUUGUAAGGUUUGAUUCUUGAAAUUUAGAAAUUAUUUUCAAGUGAUUUGAGUACAUUGAAAGUACCUAAGUCAAUAAAGUCAAAAAUAAAUUAAUUUUUACUUUGUAUCGUGACCUGUAUUCUACAUCUUGUGUGUUCCCACGAUAAUAAACUAAGAUACCAAAAAUUUCAUAGAUAUUAUAUUUAAUCAUAUAAAUUUUUUCAAUAUUGAGCUACAUAAUCCGUUGAAUUUUUUGCCCUCUAUUCCCACCUAAAACUAAAAAGAAAGAACAACAUUAAUUGCUUUAUUUAGUAAUGAAAGUGGGUCAUUAUAUAUAUAUAUAUAUAUAUAUAUAUAUAUAUAUAUAUAUAUAUAUAUAUAUAUAUAUAUAUAUUAUUUUAUUUUAUUUUAUUUUAUUUUUUUGACAACUAGGGAAACCUGAGCCGCUAUCCUAUAAAAUAGCUCGCAAAUCACAUAGGAGAGGUAACCUGCACUAGGCAAGCCUGGUGCAACGAGCUUGACCCAGAAGGCAAAUCUCUUGCUUUCGCUGGCAAGGGGUUUCAAACUUGAGACCUCCAAUAUGGAAGUUUCAAGCUCAAACCAUUGGGCCACCCCGAAGGGUUAUAUAUAUAUAACUUUUAGUAAUAUUAGAUAUUGACAUUAAUAAAGAGUGUUAAAGUCUUUAUCGGUAUCAGUUAAGUGUCAUUAGAACCAAUGUUGCUAAAGGCUUUAGGGACACAUACAAAGAAAGUUAUUGCCGCUAAAAACACUUAUUUGGCGACGUUUGAAAAUUAAUUGCCAAUAAUGAUUAUUUUUAAUAUAGUGUAUAUAUGUAUUAUUGUUUUAAAUCUCUAUACUAUUUAAGCACUAAAGGUAAUUAAAGGUUAGUUUAUCAAUCAAAAUCAAAAAAAAAUAAAUUGUUACUCCCUUAGUUCGUUUCAUAGUAGUUGAUCAUCUUACUAAAAAUAAUUGUUACACAUUAAUUGUCCAUCUUAUUAAAUCAAGAAAUCAAUAAUUAAUUUUUUCCUAUAUUAUCUAUUCAGAUAAUUCUUUUGAAAGUAUUAACAUUUGUUUGUAAAAUGUAAAAGAAGUUUUCAAGGGGUGAAUUAAUAAAAUUAUCUAGCUAGUUAAUAAAAAUGAUGGGUGAAAUAAUAUUAUCUAGCUACUUAAUAAAAAUAAUCAACUAAUAUGAGACACAUAAAAAUAGAAUUCUUCAAAUAUUUUGUAACAAAAAAAAAAAGAAAAAAGGCAGUGUACACUGAUUUUUGUAACUAAAAAUCGUGCGAAGUUGAGGGAUGCACGCAUUUUUUUCAAAGAUUUUGUAUGUAUGUAAUGUAAAAGCUUGGAAGAAAAAGAAGACUUUGUAGCUCUUUGAAUUAUUGCAUCACAAGAUGUAAAGAAAAUUGUAUGGUUGUCUUAAUAGUUUAUACAUUUUUGCUUAGCUUGCACCCUCUAUCCAAUAAAUAAAGUCAAAUUGAGCCAACAACAUGACAAAACCAAUUAUAAAAAUGAAUAAAAACUUUACCUACAUUUAUGUAAAUCUUGGUAAGGGUAAUUGUCGAAAUGAAAGCUAUAUAAAGGGGUUUGAGUGAAACUUAAAGAGGACACCAACUUCUCUUCUUUGGUUUCAAAUAUGGGGAAAAUGGCCUCUCUAGUUGCUACUCUUUUAGUGGUUUUAGUGUCACUUAGCUUUGCUUCCGAAAGCUCAGCAAACUAUCAAUACUCAUCUCCUCCACCACCAAAGAAGCCAUACCACCCUUCACCAACACCUUAUCAUCUCGCACCAGUUUACAGAUCACCACCACCACCAACUCCACUUUACAAGUCACCACCACCACCUAAGGAGCCACACUAUCCUCCACACACCCCGGUUUACAAGUCGCCACCUCCUCCAGCUCCAAUUUACAAGUCACCACCACCACCGGUGAAGCCAUACCAUCCAGCACCAGUUUAUAAGUCACCACCACCCCCUACGCCUGUUUACAAGUCACCACCACCACCAGUGAAGCCACACCAUCCUGCACCAGUAUACAAGUCUCCACCACCACCAACUCCAGUUUAUAAGUCACCACCUCCUCCAACACCCGUUUACAAGUCACCACCACCACCAGUGAAGCCAUACCAUCCUGCACCAGUAUACAAGUCACCACCACCUCCAACACCCAUUUACAAGUCACCACCACCACCAGUGAAGCCAUACCAUCCUGCACCAGUAUACAAGUCACCACCACCUCCAACACCCGUUUACAUGUCACCACCACCACCAGUGAAGCCAUACCAUCCUGCACCAGUAUACAAGUCACCACCACCUCUAACACCCGUUUACAAGUCACCACCACCACCAGUGAAGCCAUACCAUCCUGCACCAGUAUACAAAUCUCCACCACCACCAACUCCAAUUUACAAGUCACCUCCACCACCAGUGAAGCCAUACCAUCCUGCACCAGUAUACAAGUCUCCACCACCACCAACUCCAGUUUAUAAGUCACCACCACCACCGGUGAAGCCAUACCAUCCUACACCUGUGUACAAGUCUCCAC